rnacentral:rRNA from 1 species
CAGUAGCCGCGGUAAUACGGAGGGGGCUAGCGUUGUUCGGAAUUACUGGGCGUAAAGCGCACGUAGGCGGCUUUGUAAGUUAGAGGUGAAAGCCCGGGGCUCAACCCCGGAAUUGCCUUUAAGACUGCAUCGCUUGAACGUCGGAGAGGUGAGUGGAAUUCCGAGUGUAGAGGUGAAAUUCGUAGAUAUUCGGAAGAACACCAGUGGCGAAGGCGGCUCACUGGACGACUGUUGACGCUGAGGUGCGAAAGCGUGGGGAGCAAACAGGAUUAGAUACCCGUGUAGUCCCUGUCUCUUAUAC